rnacentral:rRNA from 1 species
AUUGAACGCUGGCGGCAUGCCUUACACAUGCAAGUCGAACGGCAGCACGGGAGCAAUCCUGGUGGCGAGUGGCGAACGGGUGAGUAAUACAUCGGAACGUGCCCAAUCGUGGGGGAUAACUACGCGAAAGCGUAGCUAAUACCGCAUACGAUCUACGGAUGAAAGCAGGGGAUCGCAAGACCUUGCGCGAAUGGAGCGGCCGAUGGCAGAUUAGGAGUUGGUGAGGUAAAGGCUCACCAAGCCUUCGAUCUGUAGCUGGUCUGAGAGGACGACCAGCCACACUGGGACUGAGACACGGCCCAGACUCCUACGGGAGGCAGCAGUGGGGAAUUUUGGACAAUGGGCGCAAGCCUGAUCCAGCCAUGCCGCGUGCAGGAUG